AGCCCAAACCAACAAGCUUGCUUGUUGGGGUUGUAGGACACUCUAUACGGAGUUACAAAAGAACAUGUUAGACGAAUCAUCUGGAAAGAUGAAUCAAAGAAGGUAAUAAUCCUGUAGUCGAAAACAUAUUCUCUCUUGAGUGGAUCCUGAGUACGACGGAGCACGUGAAAUUCCGUCGGAAUCUGGGAGGACCAUCUCCUAAGGCUAAAUACUCUCUAGUGACCGAUAGUGAACCAGUACCGUGAGGGAAAGGUGAAAAGUACCCCGGAAGGGGAGUGAAAGAGAACUUGAAACCGUGUGCUUACAAGUAGUCAGAGCCCGUUAAUGGGUGAUGGCGUGCCUUUUGUAGAAUGAACCGGCGAGUUACGAUCUGAUGCAAGGUUAAGCAGCAAAUGUGGAGCCGCAGCGAAAGCGAGUCUGAAUAGGGCGUUGAGUAUUUGGUCGUAGACCCGAAACCAGGUGAUCUACCCUUGGUCAGGUUGAAGUUCAGGUAACACUGAAUGGAGGACCGAACCGACUUACGUUGAAAAGUGAGCGGAUGAACUGAGGGUAGCGGAGAAAUUCCAAUCGAACUUGGAGAUAGCUGGUUCUCUCCGAAAUAGCUUUAGGGCUAGCCUCAAGUGAUGAUUAUUGGAGGUAGAGCACUGUUUGGACGAGGGGCCCCUCUCGGGUUACCGAAUUCAGACAAACUCCGAAUGCCAAUUAAUUUAACUUGGGAGUCAGAACAUGGGUGAUAAGGUCCGUGUUCGAAAGGGAAACAGCCCAGACCACCAGCUAAGGUCCCAAAAUAUAUGUUAAGUGGAAAAGGAUGUGGCGUUGCCCAGACAACUAGGAUGUUGGCUUAGAAGCAGCCAUCAUUUAAAGAGUGCGUAAUAGCUCACUAGUCGAGUGACACUGCGCCGAAAAUGUACCGGGGCUAAACAUAUUACCGAAGCUGUGGAUUGUCCUUUGGACAAUGGUAGGAGAGCGUUCUAAGGGCGUCGAAGCAUGAUCGCAAGGACAUGUGGAGCGCUUAGAAGUGAGAAUGCCGGUGUGAGUAGCGAAAGACGGGUGAGAAUCCCGUCCACCGAUUGACUAAGGUUUCCAGAGGAAGGCUCGUCCGCUCUGGGUUAGUCGGGUCCUAAGCUGAGGCCGACAGGCGUAGGCGAUGGAUAACAGGUUGAUAUUCCUGUACCACCUAGUAUCGUUUUAAUCGAUGGGGGGACGCAGUAGGAUAGGCGAAGCGUGCUGUUGGAGUGCACGUCCAAGCAGUAAGGCUGAGUGUUAGGCAAAUCCGGCACUCAUAAGGCUGAGCUGUGAUGGGGAGAGGAAAUUGUUUCCUCGAGUCGUUGAUUUCACACUGCCGAGAAAAGCCUCUAGAUAGAUAACAGGUGCCCGUACCGCAAACCGACACAGGUAGUCAAGAUGAGAAUUCUAAGGUGAGCGAGCGAACUCUCGUUAAGGAACUCGGCAAAAUGACCCCGUAACUUCGGGAGAAGGGGUGCUCUUUAGGGUUCACGCCCAGAAGAGCCGCAGUGAAUAGGCCCAAGCGACUGUUUAUCAAAAACACAGGUCUCUGCUAAACCGUAAGGUGAUGUAUAGGGGCUGACGCCUGCCCGGUGCUGGAAGGUUAAGAGGAGUGGUUAGCUUCUGCGAAGCUACGAAUCGAAGCCCC
rnacentral:rRNA from 1 species